AUUGAACGCUGGCGGCAUGCCUUACACAUGCAAGUCGAACGGCAGCACGGGUGCUUGCCCCUGGUGGCGAGUGGCGAACGGGUGAGUAAUACAUCGGAACAUGUCCUGUAGUGGGGAUAGCCCGGCGAAAGCCGGAUUAAUACCGCAUACGAUCUACGGAUGAAAGCGGGGGGCCUUCGGGCCUCGCGCCAUAGGGUUUGCCGAUGGCUGAUUAGCUAGUUGGUGGGGUAAAGGCCUACCAAGGCGACGAUCAGUAGCUGGUCUGAGAGGACGACCAGCCACACUGGGACUGAGACACGGCCCAGACUCCUACGGGAGGCAGCAGUGGGGAAUUUUGGACAAUGGGCGAAAGCCUGAUCCAGCAAUGCCGCGUGUGUGAAGAAGGCCUUCGGGUUGUAAAGCACUUUUGUCCGGAAAGAAAUCCUUGGCCCUAAUACGGUCGGGGGAUGACGGUACCGGAAGAAUAAGCACCGGCUAACUACGUG
rnacentral:rRNA from 1 species